rnacentral:rRNA from 1 species
AGUGAACGCUGGCGGCGUGCUUAAUACAUGCAAGUCGAACGAUGAAGUCCUAGCUUGCUAGGAUGGAUUAGUGGCGCACGGGUGAGUAAUAUAUAGUUAAUCUGCCUUGCACUGAGGAACAACAGUUGGAAACGAUUGCUAAUACCUCAUACUCCAACUUUACAUAAGUUAAGUUGGGAAAGUCUUUUCGGUGCAAGAUGAGACUAUAUCGUAUCAGCUAGUUGGUAAAGUAAUGGCUUACCAAGGCUAUGACGCGUAACUGGUCUGAGAGGAUGAUCAGUCACAUUGGAACUGAGACACGGUCCAAACUCCUACGGGAGGCAGCAGUAAGGAAUAUUGUGCAAUGGGGGAAACCCUGACGCAGCAACGCCGCGUGGAGGAUGACACUUUUCGGAGCGUAAACUCCUUUUGUUAGGGAAGAAUAAUGACGGUACCUAACGAAUAAGCACCGGCUAACUCCGUG